UAUUGGCCACCUGACCGAAAAUAAAAAUAUUAAGUAUUAUUUUGUAAAGACUUUUGGGUCUCUAAGUAGAUACCUGUAUUUUGUGAAAUGAUGUGUUUGCUCUUCGAUUCAAGUGGGAUUUAUUACAGUAGAGAAUGGAAACAGGCAAUAUUGUUCGACUACUUUAGCAUGAUCCUUUGUCGCGGUUUUCUCAACCCCUUUUAAAGAUUAUACAGGUAUAAUUUAUUACUUGAUUUAUCAAUUAUCAAGUACUUAUCCGAUUUAUCAUUUAUACCAUACAAUGGAGUCAACUUAAUUUUUUUAAACGGCAUCAAACAUAUUUUAAUAGAUAAUUAGCUUUGAUAUGAAAAUAAGAAGACACCAGUGGUCGUGAGACAGUACGUUUCGACUUGGGAGGGAUGAAACAUUUGACAAACUUCGCCAAAGGCUUACGGUCCAGAACCAUCGCACCACUCAGCACCACGUAACUUCGAACACAGCGUCAACGAUCAAUACACCUACAACAUCAAGAGCCAACAAGAAUACUCCGACGGAAAAGGAUACGUCAAGGAAUCGUACAGCUCGAUCGAACCUGGCGGUUCCACCCGAAUACACCGCCGAUGACUUCAACGGUUUUAACGCUGAAGUCAAGAAAAUCGGUGGAGGAUACAAGGCCCCAUACAGUGCUCCAGCAUACAAUCCAGCCCCAUACUCUGCUCCAGCAUACAACACGCUUACCUAGCACCAGCUUACAAACUAUACUAAGCGAAGUCUCGAAUAGGCAUAAAUUAGUUGUUUAUAAAAUUCUAUGUUUUUAAUCUUAUUCAUCUUGUCACCUAUUGAUGACGUUUUACUGUCGGCGGCAUCAAAAUCAUAUUCCCACUUGUUUUCGUUGUCACCUAAUAUUCGUAAUACAUUCUUUAUUGUUGUUAUCGUAUAUUUUGUAAAUAAUAUCCUCAUUAUACAUUUAUUUAUUUUGGACUUUUUUUUCACUGGUGUUAUUGAUUUUUAAUUAAAAACUAAAGUUUAUAAUUUACAUCUUAAAUAUUUCAUUCAAUAUGAUAAUUUAGUAAAUGAUAAGGAAUAACUAACAUUCUAACUUGAGACUAUAAAUUUGUAAUCUGAAAAGUUAAAUAUAAUACUGAUAAAGAGGCCUUUAUAUCUUAGUGAGAAGAAGAGUGAGGCCGAAUAACAAUUGCCUAAAAACAAAAUAAGCAGCACCCACGUCUUAAAUCCAGUAUAUAUUGAAAUAUUACAUUUUACAUGCUAAUUAAAAUAUAUGUAACAUAUUUCUCUUAUAUUCUAAAUUGGACAAUUUUUAAUUUAUGAUUUGUGGUUUAAGUGUUAUUAUAUUUAUAUAUUAUUAUUUAAAUCUCCAGUCUAUGCUCCGAUAUUUGUUUCAAUUCUAAAAUUUUUACCAAUACUGUUUAAAAUGCCCUUAAACUGCAAUUUUUGUCACUAGAAUCUAAUCUCUCUUUAAAUGCGACUCUGUGACCACUAUUAAAAUAUGAACAGAAACAAAUUUUUUAGUUAUCAUUUUUGUAUAAUCAUAAUACAUAAUUUGGAAAAAAAUACACUUAUACUUAAAGUUUUAUACUGCCAAAACAUUUUUUUUAAAUUUCGAGAGUUUUUGCAUAUUUCAGUAAAUUAGCUACUAAAAUUAAUUUAAUUAUGAACUCAUUUACACAAAAUUUGGUUUGUUUGUAAAAUAUCGAAAUAAAAAUACAGAAUUGAGUUAUUUUCAUAUAAUUUAAGGUACUCGAGAUAGUUACUUUACUAAUAAAUUAAUGAAAUAACAAAUACAAAAAGUUAUACGAAGGAAGUUUUAUUUACAAAACAUUAUUACAGUGAACAAUUAAUUCAUUGAUAUUACAUGUAAAACAAAAAUAGAUGUACAACUGCAUAUGAUUUCAACGUUACCAACAGCAGAUGACGUUUUAGGUGACAGGAAGAACAAGAUUAAAAACAUAUAAAUUAUAAACAACUAACUAUUAUAUGCCAAUUCGAGAUUUCGCUUAGUAUGGUUUGUAAGCUAUAUAUUUAGACAAAAGCUUUUUAGAGUUUUAUUAAGAAACUCAAGUUCUCACAUUUAGGGAAAUUUAUUCCUUCUAAGUUACGCAUCCAAGCAAAAAGUUAUUUUUCAUUCAAUUAAUUUAUUUAAUUAAGCUCUUCGAACAUUCUUUUGUGUCAAAUGCGGAAAGUCUAUGAGACAACAGUUUUUAUAUAAUUACCACAGCUGUUAUAUUAAAAAAUUUUAGUCUUAUUAUUUCUAAAUGUAAAACACAAUUAAUACGUGUCUUUCGACAUUUCAUUAAAUAAUAUUUUGUUUCAAAAAUUUCAGCGAUAAAUAUUAUUAAUUAUUUUAAAAAUGUUUUCCUUAAAACUUUUCAAAUUUAUACUUUUAUUAUUUUAUGUGAUUUUAUACUCAAAAGCAUAUAAGACUCCAAAACAUAUAAUUCAUCAAUUAGAUAAUUUACUAAAGUAUCCGGGAUGGAAAAAUUUAAAUGAUAUAAGCUCUAUAAAAUAUCGUAAUGAAACACAUUAUCUUAAAAGUCUGAUUGAAACACCUACACCGACUGAUAAAGGUAAGCAAAAGAUUCGAGCCUUGACUGUAUAU